AACGAGUCAUUGGGCCAAUGUUUUGAUAACCGCCCGCAGCCAGUGGACAGAGAGCACCAGCGGACUGACUACUACCCCCCACACACCCCGUCCGGCCAAACCACUCGCCCGACCACUAGCCGUCACUGGAAAACAGCUAAAUACCCAACUGAGAUCGGCACCUGCCGCUCUGAAAAAGGAACCUUCCACCGACCACUGUUCGCACUCGGCGUCACUCUAAUACGCCUUUGAGUAAGAUGGAUUUUUCCUUGGAUCUGGCUGCUGUAUCAUCUCUGUUCACAAGGGGGCAGACGGGUACAACUGACAACGAGAGAAGAGGGAACUCACAU